CUACGGGAUGCUGCAGGCGCGAAAACUCUACAAUGCACGCAAGUGUGAUAGGGCAACCCCUCGUGCUUAUCUAACGAUAGGCUUUUGUCAAGUCUAGUGCACUUGACGAAUAAGUGGUGGGCAAGACCGGUGCCAGCAGCCGCGGUAAUACCGGCGCCACAAGUGGAGAUCAUGUUUAUUGGGUCUAAAGUGUUCGUAGCUGGUUGUUUAAGUCUCUUGUGAAAGUUCUGUGGCUCAACCCAGAAAUUGCAAGAGAUACUGGACGACUUGAGACCGGAAGAGGUGUGAGGUAUUGUUUGGGUAGCGGUAAAAUGCUAUAAUCCUUACAAGACCAACUAAGGCGAAGGCAUCACACUUGGACGGAUCUGACAGUGAGGAACGAGAGCUGGGGGAGCGAACCGGAUUAGAUACCCCAGUAGUC
rnacentral:rRNA from 1 species